GGGCCCGUAGUUAAGUGGUACAACGCCGCAUUCGCAUUGCGGAGGCAGGGGUUCGACUCCCCUCGGGUCCA
rnacentral:tRNA from 1 species